rnacentral:lncRNA from 1 species
AUGGUUGAGGAACAGGGGCAGUGUAACGCUUUGACACAACACCUGCUGGACAACCUGAUUCACCUUCUGCCAAACAUGUACCCUCAUGAACCCACUAGCAUCACAGCAGAAAGGGACUGGGCUAAUGACGAGUGUGUCCAACAGUUGCCACUCUCAAAAAUAAGCAACAACACAGAGAGUGGAGAGGCCUCUACAAGAGUAGAGACUCAGAGAACAGAAGACACUAUGGCUUGUGAGGCUCACCACAAAAACACUGGGGCCA